AGCGUACACGGUGGAUGCCCUGGCAGUCAGAGGCGAUGAAGGACGUGCUAAUCUGCGAUAAGCGUCGGUAAGGUGAUAUGAACCGUUAUAACCGGCGAUUUCCGAAUGGGGAAACCCAGUGUGUUUCGACACACUAUCAUUAACUGAAUCCAUAGGUUAAUGAGGCGAACCGGGGGAACUGAAACAUCUAAGUACCCCGAGGAAAAGAAAUCAACCGAGAUUCCCCCAGUAGCGGCGAGCGAACGGGGAGGAGCCCAGAGCCUGAAUCAGUGUGUGUGUUAGUGGAAGCGUCUGGAAAGGCGCGCGAUACAGGGUGACAGCCCCGUACACAAAAAUGCACAUGCUGUGAGCUCGAUGAGUAGGGCGGGACACGUGGUAUCCUGUCUGAAUAUGGGGGGACCAUCCUCCAAGGCUAAAUACUCCUGACUGACCGAUAGUGAACCAGUACCGUGAGGGAAAGGCGAAAAGAACCCCGGCGAGGGGAGUGAAAAAGAACCUGAAACCGUGUACGUACAAGCAGUGGGAGCCUCUUUAUGGGGUGACUGCGUACCUUUUGUAUAAUGGGUCAGCGACUUAUAUUCUGUAGCAAGGUUAACCGAAUAGGGGAGCCGAAGGGAAACCGAGUCUUAACUGGGCGUUAAGUUGCAGGGUAUAGACCCGAAACCCGGUGAUCUAGCCAUGGGCAGGUUGAAGGUUGGGUAACACUAACUGGAGGACCGAACCGACUAAUGUUGAAAAAUUAGCGGAUGACUUGUGGCUGGGGGUGAAAGGCCAAUCAAACCGGGAGAUAGCUGGUUCUCCCCGAAAGCUAUUUAGGUAGCGCCUCGUGAAUUCAUCUCCGGGGGUAGAGCACUGUUUCGGCAAGGGGGUCAUCCCGACUUACCAACCCGAUGCAAACUGCGAAUACCGGAGAAUGUUAUCACGGGAGACACACGGCGGGUGCUAACGUCCGUCGUGAAGAGGGAAACAACCCAGACCGCCAGCUAAGGUCCCAAAGUCAUGGUUAAGUGGGAAACGAUGUGGGAAGGCCCAGACAGCCAGGAUGUUGGCUUAGAAGCAGCCAUCAUUUAAAGAAAGCGUAAUAGCUCACUGGUCGAGUCGGCCUGCGCGGAAGAUGUAACGGGGCUAAACCAUGCACCGAAGCUGCGGCAGCGACGCUUAUGCGUUGUUGGGUAGGGGAGCGUUCUGUAAGCCUGUGAAGGUGGCCUGUGAGGGUUGCUGGAGGUAUCAGAAGUGCGAAUGCUGACAUAAGUAACGAUAAAGCGGGUGAAAAGCCCGCUCGCCGGAAGACCAAGGGUUCCUGUCCAACGUUAAUCGGGGCAGGGUGAGUCGACCCCUAAGGCGAGGCCGAAAGGCGUAGUCGAUGGGAAACAGGUUAAUAUUCCUGUACUUGGUGUUACUGCGAAGGGGGGACGGAGAAGGCUAUGUUGGCCGGGCGACGGUUGUCCCGGUUUAAGCGUGUAGGCUGGUUUUCCAGGCAAAUCCGGAAAAUCAAGGCUGAGGCGUGAUGACGAGGCACUACGGUGCUGAAGCAACAAAUGCCCUGCUUCCAGGAAAAGCCUCUAAGCAUCAGGUAACAUCAAAUCGUACCCCAAACCGACACAGGUGGUCAGGUAGAGAAUACCAAGGCGCUUGAGAGAACUCGGGUGAAGGAACUAGGCAAAAUGGUGCCGUAACUUCGGGAGAAGGCACGCUGAUAUGUAGGUGAAGCGACUUGCUCGUGGAGCUGAAAUCAGUCGAAGAUACCAGCUGGCUGCAACUGUUUAUUAAAAACACAGCACUGUGCAAACACGAAAGUGGACGUAUACGGUGUGACGCCUGCCCGGUGCCGGAAGGUUAAUUGAUGGGGUUAGCGGUAACGCGAAGCUCUUGAUCGAAGCCCCGGUAAACGGCGGCCGUAACUAUAACGGUCCUAAGGUAGCGAAAUUCCUUGUCGGGUAAGUUCCGACCUGCACGAAUGGCGUAAUGAUGGCCAGGCUGUCUCCACCCGAGACUCAGUGAAAUUGAACUCGCUGUGAAGAUGCAGUGUACCCGCGGCAAGACGGAAAGACCCCGUGAACCUUUACUAUAGCUUGACACUGAACAUUGAGCCUUGAUGUGUAGGAUAGGUGGGAGGCUUUGAAGUGUGGACGCCAGUCUGCAUGGAGCCGACCUUGAAAUACCACCCUUUAAUGUUUGAUGUUCUAACGUUGACCCGUUAUCCGGGUUGCGGACAGUGUCUGGUGGGUAGUUUGACUGGGGCGGUCUCCUCCUAAAGAGUAACGGAGGAGCACGAAGGUUGGCUAAUCCUGGUCGGACAUCAGGAGGUUAGUGCAAUGGCAUAAGCCAGCUUGACUGCGAGCGUGACGGCGCGAGCAGGUGCGAAAGCAGGUCAUAGUGAUCCGGUGGUUCUGAAUGGAAGGGCCAUCGCUCAACGGAUAAAAGGUACUCCGGGGAUAACAGGCUGAUACCGCCCAAGAGUUCAUAUCGACGGCGGGGUUUGGCACCUCGAUGUCGGCUCAUCACAUCCUGGGGCUGAAGUAGGUCCCAAGGGUAUGGCUGUUCGCCAUUUAAAGUGGUACGCGAGCUGGGUUUAGAACGUCGUGAGACAGUUCGGUCCCUAUCUGCCGUGGGCGCUGGAGAACUGAGGGGGGCUGCUCCUAGUACGAGAGGACCGGAGUGGACGCAUCACUGGUGUUCGGGUUGUCAUGCCAAUGGCACUGCCCGGUAGCUAAAUGCGGAAGAGAUAAGUGCUGAAAGCAUCUAAGCACGAAACUUGCCCCGAGAUGAGUUCUCCCUGACUCCUUGA
rnacentral:rRNA from 1 species